AGCCAAGUUCUGCAGCUCCCCUCGCUAGUCAGUGGGCUGGCAGAACUCAAAUGGAUCCUAGCCCUGCCUGUGUCAACCAACACAGAGCGUGUAGCCUGCGGUCCUUAGUAUGUUAAGUUCUCAAUGAUUAAAUCAAGCUCCCUGGUGCCACUUUCUCAGAUGAUAUGAUAGGUGGAACACCCAGGAUCUAUGAGCCCAAAUAUAAGAAAAAUAUCCCAGGAUGUCUGUUUUGCACACAUCUCUGAAGAAUCAAGCCCAACAAGAGAAAACAAAACAAAACAAAACAAAGACAAUGGGACAUCACACUGAGACGUGGUUCACAGAGUCAUCAAGCAGUGUCCCAGGGUUGUCUGCACCUCACACUGGCUGCUGUAUGAGACUGACAGCAGCAUCUACUGAGCUCCGCUUUCCAGUUCAAGGUUCCAGAUGCCACCAGGAUGCUGGCCAGGCUUCCCUGGAUUGAAGACCCCACCAAUGUGUCCUGGAGCUCAGCUUCCCCAGAGACACACCCUACUAGGGAAAGAGAGAGGCAGACUGGGAGUAUGGACCAACCAGUUAACGCCCAUGUUCAGUGGGGAAGCAAUUACAGAAGCCAGACCCUCUACCUUCUGCAACCCUCAAUGA